CCUACGGGGUGCAGCAGUGGGGAAUAUUGGACAAUGGGCGAAAGCUUGAUCCAGCCAUGCCGCGUGUGUGAAGAAGGCCUUCGGGUUGUAAAGCACUUUCAGUGGGGAAGAAAGCCUUGGGGCUAAUACCCUCGAGGAAGGACAUCACCCACAGAAGAAGCACCGGCUAACUCCGUGCCAGCAGCCGCGGUAAUACGGAGGGUGCGAGCGUUAAUCGGAAUUACUGGGCGUAAAGCGCGCGUAGGCGGUCUGAUAAGCCGGUUGUGAAAGCCCCGGGCUCAACCUGGGAACGGCAUCCGGAACUGUCAGGCUAGAGUGCAGGAGAGGAAGGUAGAAUUCCCGGUGUAGCGGUGAAAUGCGUAGAGAUCGGGAGGAAUACCAGUGGCGAAGGCGGCCUUCUGGACUGACACUGACGCUGAGGUGCGAAAGCGUGGGUAGCAAACAGGAUUAGAUACCCUGGUAGUC
rnacentral:rRNA from 1 species